rnacentral:rRNA from 1 species
AAUCCUACGGGAGGCAGCAGUGAGGAAUAUUGGUCAAUGGACGCAAGUCUGAACCAGCCAAGUAGCGUGCAGGAUGACGGCCCUCCGGGUUGUAAACUGCUUUUAGUUGGGAAUAAAAGGGGGCUCGUGAGCCCCGUAUUGUAUGUACCAUCAGAAAAAGGACCGGCUAAUUACGUGCCAGCAGCCGCGGUAAUACGUAGGUGGCGAGCGUUAUCCGGAAUGAUUGGGCGUAAAGGGUGCGUAGGCGGCCUGCUAAGUCUGGAGUGAAAGGUACCGGCUCAACCGGUACAGGCUCUGGAAACUGG